rnacentral:rRNA from 1 species
UAUCAGUCAUGCAUAGCAUAUCAAUAAGCGGAGGAAAAGAAACUAACAAGGAUUCCCUUAGUAACGGCGAGUGAAGCGGGAAGAGCUCAAAUUUGAAAUCUUCAAGGUUUUACCUUGACGAAUUGUAGUUUAAAGAAGUGUUUUCUGUUGAAGUUUUGGUAAAAGUUCUUUGGAAUAGGACAUCAUAGAGGGUGAGAAUCCCGUAUUUGACCAUUACUUUCAGCUUUGUGAUACACUUUCAAAGAGUCGGAUUGUUUGGGAAUGCAGUCCAAAAUGGGUGGUAAAUUUCAUCUAAAGCUAAAUAUUGGCGAGAGACCGAUAGCGAACAAGUACCGUGAGGGAAAGAUGAAAAGAACUUUGAAAAGAGAGUUAAACAGUACGUGAAAUUGUCAAAAGGGAAGCGUUUGACACCAGUGUUGUUUUCCUCGAAAAUCAAUUAAAAAGAGUUGGAUUUUGUGUUGUAUUGACUUUAUCAGGCCUUUCUUCACUCUUUUCCAGCUUUUUUUAAUGCACUUUUCGUUUAACAAGUCAACAUCAGUUUCUUUUGUUGUAAAAAGGUCAUUGGAAGGUGGCUUUCUCUUCGGAGAAAGUGUUUAUAGCCUUUGACUCAUGCAAUCGGAGAGGACUGAGGUCUGCAGCGUAGAUCCUUCGGGGUUAGAUACAUUUGUGCUAAGUUAUAGCUUUUCAUAGACAACUUGUUGACUAUGUUUAGUCUUGUAGCUUACUCGCUUAUGCUAUUUUACCUACGCUUAGGAUGUUGAACUCUAUCACACACAG